rnacentral:rRNA from 1 species
UACGUAGGGUGCGAGCGUUAAUCGGAAUUACUGGGCGUAAAGCGUGCGCAGGCGGUUCGUUGUGUCGGCGGUGAAAGCCCCGGGCUCAACCUGGGAAUGGCCGUUGAAACUGGCGAACUGGAGUGUGGCAGAGGGGGGUGGAAUUGCGCGUGUAGCAGUGAAAUGCGUAGAGAUGUGGAGGAAUACCGAUGGCGAAGGCAGCCUCCUGGGCCAACACUGACGCUCAUGCACGAAAGCGUGGGGGGCAAACAGG